NNNNNNNNNNNNNNNNNNNNNNNNNNNNNNNNNNNNNNNNNNNNNNNNNNNNNNUUUUCUUUUUCCCUUUUUCUUUUUCCCUUUUUCUUUUUCCCUUUUUCUUUUUCCCUUUUUCUUUUUCCCUUUUUCUUUUUCCCUUUUUCUUUUUCUCUUCUCUUCUCUUCUCUUCUCUUUUCUUUCUCUUUUCUUCUCUUCCUUUUUCUUUUUUUCCUUUUUUCUUUUUCUUUUUUUUUCUUGUUCUUCUUUCCUUUUCCUUUAUAAUUUUUUCUUUCUUUUUUUCUUUUCCUUUUUUUUCUUUCACUUUCUUUUUUCUUUUUCCUUUUUUUUUCUUUUCUUUUUCUUCCUCUCCUCUCCUUUUUUUUUCCUUCUUCCUCUUCUUCUUUUUCUUAUUUUCUUCUGGUUUUGGACACUCAACUACUGGGGAAAACCUGCUUUUCCAGCAGCCGCGAUGGCCGCGCCCCUGCAGCCGCCCCCGACCCCGUGGAACCUCAGCCCUCGGAGCCCCCCCCACCGCUGAGCGCUGCGAGAACGACCCCGAGGGGCAGCAGCUGCACUCCACUGCUCAUAACCUUCAGCUGCCUCUGCUCUUCCCGUCCCGGGGAGCUCCUCGCACGAUGUCCCCGAGCCCUGCUGGGUUUUGCAGAGCCUGUGGCCCUGGAGGAGCAAAGCGCAGGAGAGCUGCUCCCGAGCAAACUCCUCCUUGCUGUCCCUCUGCUUUUCUGCCUGGAAACAAGGAGACACGAGUGAGCUGUGCGUUCAGGCCUGCUGCUGGGAAGCUGCUGCUUCACCCUUUCAAGCAACCUCACCGCAACGCCGAGGGCACCAGCAAGGAGCAGAGCAACGCCAGCUUCUCACCUGGGACACGGGGACUGCUGCGCUGGACGAGCACCGCGUCGGUGUCCUUUGCACGGAUGCAAAGCCUUUAUCACCACUGCAUGGAGCGCUGUGCGCUCUGCAGGAGGUUUGCAGACAGAUUGGGCACUGGGAGGUUUUAUGGUACCCCCAAGGAGAGCAGCAUUGGUUGCCUGCUCCCCCCAGAGCCCCUCACCGAGUGCACGGCCCCUCUCUGCCUCUGCUGCCUUUGGGGAGCUGCAGGCGUGAGCAUCUGCACCCACACAGAGUUGCAUUAACGACGUCUCCCAGGUUCAUAUUAAUAUUAUUUAUUAUAAUAAAGAACAGUCAAGCAGCGUGAAAAAAAUAUAU
rnacentral:lncRNA from 1 species